GAUGAACGCUGGCGGCGUGCCUAAUACAUGCAAGUCGAGCGAACAGACGAGAGUGCUUGCACUCUCUGACGUUAGCGGCGGACGGGUGAGUAUCACGUGGGUAACCUACCUAUAAGACUGGGAUAACUUCGGGAAACCGGAGCUAAUACCGGAUAAUAUUUAGCUUCGCAUGAAGCAAUAGUGAAAGACGGUUCUGCUGUCACUUAUAGAUGGACCCGCGGUGUAUUAGCUAGUUGGUGAGGUAACGGCUCACCAAGGCAACGAUACAUAGCCGACCUGAGAGGGUGAUCGGCCACACUGGGACUGAGACACGGCCCAGACUCCUACGGGAGGCAGCAGUAGGGAAUCUUCCGCAAUGGACGAAAGUCUGACGGAGCAAUGCCGCGUGAGUGAAGAAGGUUUUCGGAUCGUAAAACUCUGUUGUAAGGGAAGAACAAGUACGUUAGUAACUGAACGUACCUUGACGGUACCUUACCAGAAAGCCACGGCUAACUACGUG
rnacentral:rRNA from 1 species